GUCUAUGCCAUGCCAUCCUGAACACGCCCAAUCUCGUCUGAUCUCAGAAGCUAAGCAGGGUUGGGCCUGGUUAGUACUUGGAUGGGAGACCACCUAGGAAGACCAGGUGCUGUAGGCA
rnacentral:rRNA from 1 species